rnacentral:rRNA from 1 species
UACGGAGGGUGCAAGCGUUGUCCGGAUUCAUUGGGUUUAAAGGGUGCGUAGGCGGGCAAAUAAGUCAGUGGUGAAAUUCCGGGGCUCAACUUCGGAUGUGGCAUUGAUACUGUAUGUCUUGAGACGAGUCGAGGUAGCUGGAAUGUGUAGUGUAGCGGUGAAAUGCACAGAUAUUACACAGAACACCAAUUGCGAAGGCAAGUUACUAGUCUUAGUCUGACGCUGAUGCACGAAAGUGUGGGGAGCAAACAGG